rnacentral:snRNA from 1 species
GCCUCUUCAGGGACAUCCGAUAAAAUUGGAACCAUAAAUGGAAGAUUAGCAAUUUAGCAUGGUUCCUGCGCAAAUAUGACACAUACAAAUCGAGAAACGAUGGAUAACAUU